GAUGAACGCUGGCGGCGUGCCUAAUACAUGCAAGUCGAGCGAACAGAUGAGGAGCUUGCUCCUCUGACGUUAGCGGCGGACGGGUGAGUAACACGUGGAUAACCUACCUAUAAGACUGGGAUAACUUCGGGAAACCGGAGCUAAUACCGGAUAAUAUAUUGAACCGCAUGGUUCAAUAGUGAAAGACGGUUUUGCUGUCACUUAUAGAUGGAUCCGCGCCGCAUUAGCUAGUUGGUAAGGUAACGGCUUACCAAGGCAACGAUGCGUAGCCGACCUGAGAGGGUGAUCGGCCACACUGGAACUGAGACACGGUCCAGACUCCUACGGGAGGCAGCAGUAGGGAAUCUUCCCCAAUGGGCGAAAGCUUGACGGAGCAACGCCGCGUGAGUGAUGAAGGUCUUCGGAUCGUAAAACUCUGUUAUUAGGGAAGAACAAAUGUGUAAGUAACUAUGCACGUCUUGACGGUACCUAAUCAGAAAGCCACGGCUAACUACGUG
rnacentral:rRNA from 1 species